rnacentral:lncRNA from 1 species
GCUUCUCGCAGGCGGCGCGCUUGCUGGGUCACAGUGAGGCGGCUCCGCGCAGGCGCAGCCGGGCGGGCGAGGAGCGGGGAAGCUGACUCAGGGCUGCGGCCGGGGUCCUGCGGGGUAGGAGCGCGAGGCCGGCCUGAGGGAGGAGGCCUAGCGACCCAUCCGGCGCCUCCCGCCCCGGGCACCCGCCCGCGGCCGCGCAUCCUGCGGGCCCCAGGAGGCCUCCAUCUCAAAACAACGUGUUUUUAGAGAACUCAAGGGCUGUGAAAAGAGCAGGACCUCACCAGCUGCACGGCGGUGGUGACUGGCUCCAUCUUGCUGUCCCUCCCAAUCACACAACAUCUCCCCUUGAAGGCUCUGCCCAGGCCCGGACUCCCACCUUUCAAGAUGUCUGGAUCAGUGCAGGACCUCCUCCUUGGCCACAUCGCUCUCCUUGGACUGGUUCAAGUGAUUCUCCCACCUCAGCCUCCCAAGUAGGAUUACAGUGUUGACUCACCUGUGGAGUGGUCUGAGCCUGAAUGCCCGGGGCUGUGGCCACCGAGUGAACGGGCUGUGCUAAGGGGAAUUGCCACCUUGGGAAACCUGUGUAGUUGCGGCUUUUCUGAUUAAGUAUCAAUAAAAGUCUGACCUUGUGAAAAAAGCAAACGUGAGUGGCCCUGCUUAUGUUUCACCUUGCGUUGCUCAGUGAUAGUUCUGCAAAGUCGCAGGAAACCUGGAAUCAUCUAAUUAUCGUGAGUGUUGGUUCCUUAUUUAAUAAUGUCUAGUUGAUUCAUUAACAUGGAAUUCAUGGCCAGUACCUCUGUCACUCAUGCCUGACUGAAGUUGAUCAGCACGUCUUUUUCUCCCUUAGGCACAUGACAGCCUUCUUGCAAUCAAGAAACUACGUGUGGCCAGGAUCUCAUCCACUAUCACAGUUUCAGCUUUCCCCAAACUGGAAUGUGUCUUUGCAGACGCCCAUCCUUAUUAAAGGGCAAAGACUUCUCAUACACCUAGGAUGGAUCUUAUAUUCUUGGCGGGACUGCAGAGAAGGUGCCGUGUCCUGAGUCCUCAUGUCAGGGCACAGGCUUCCAGCCAGUUCUACCUGGGUUAUGUUUAUCUCAAUUCCCUGGUGGUAUUGGUGUCUGCUGGGUUUUGCCAGAAUGAAGACACCGUGUUUUCAUUUGUCAGUUGAUUCGUAUUUUCCAGGAAGACAUUCUGAGAUUACAGCAUUGUCUUAGUCAAGGUGCUGCAGAAGGACAGAACUAAUAGGAUAUAUGUACAUAUGAAAGAAAGUUUAUGAAGAACUGGCUCACACCAUCACAAGGCAAAGUCCCAUGACAGGCCAUCUGCAAGCUGAGGAGCGAGGAAGCCAGCAGUGGCUCAGCCGGAGUCCAACAGCCUCAAACGGAAUCCAACAGUUCAGGCUUCAGUCUGUGGCCAAAUGCCCAGAGACCCCGGAAAGCUACUGGUGUUAGUCCCAGAGCCGGAAGGCCAAAGAACCUGGAGUGUGAUGUCCAAGGGCAGGAGGAAUGGACAGAAGCAUCCAGCAUGGGGUAAAGACGAAAGCCAGAAGACUCAGCAAGCUAGCUUACCUACUUUCUUCUGCCUGCCUUGUUCUAGCCGCGCUGGCAGCCGGUUGGAGGGUGCCCACCCCCACUGAGGGUGGAUCUUCCUCUCCUAGUCCACUGACUCAAAUUUCAGUCUCUCUGGGAGCACCAUCACACCAGAAACAAUACCAGCCAUCUAGCCACCCUUCAGUUCACCAUCACAACCAUUGUCUUAUUCAUGAAACUUCUGCAGACCCACCUUAACCUCCAUCGGUGACUUCUACCUGAAGCCCUCUGAUUGUUGCCCAGUGGUGCUUUUUAAAAUAAUUUCCAUAGUUUCUUCUACACCUUUAGUUGGCAUUCUACUGUAAAGGAGAGAUUUUAUUUUCUUACUCAUUUAUUUGUUAGUUUAUAGUCACCACCAUAUGGAUGCAGAGUUCUGUCUCAUUCACUGGGAAGUAUUCUAUUGCAGUCAUGAUUUAUUUUGAUGUUCACAUCCCAGAGUUGGUGAGUGAGCGCCCCUUCACGCUGGCUCCCGAGUGCUGACGUGUCCCCGUCCUUCUCUGCACUUUUCCUUACCUCCUGGCCUCAGAUAUUCCAGGGUCAUUUGUUCUCUCCCUGCUCCAACCCUGCAGUCAGCCAUCUCCCUAGGGACGUUGGUUCCUUUAUGGAAGGUGGCAUUUAGAAGCCAGGAUUUGGGCUGAGCACUGUGGCUCAUGCUUGUAAUCCCAGCACUUGGGGAGGCCGAAGUGGGCGGAUCGCUGGAGGCCAAGAGUCUGAGACCAGCCUGGCUAACAUGGUGAAACCCUUCCCCGUCUCUACUACAAAUAAAAAAUUAGCUGGGUGUGUUGGCACGUGCCUGUAAUCCCAGUUACUCAGGAGGCUGAAGCACCAGAAUCUCUUGAACCCAGGAGGCCGAGGUUGCAGUGAGCCAAGAUUGCACCACUGCACUACAGCUUGGGUGACAGCGCGAGACACCGUCUCAAAAAGGAUAAUAAUUUAAAAAACAGCAGGAUUUGGGUGAGCAGUGCGCUCAUUGCUUCUGGGCUCUCUCGGUGGACAUAGGCUAGGAAUGUAAGAUGUAUGUGCCUGUGUAUAUACACACGUCUGUAGCUAUGUCUAUGUUGCAUACAUGUGUUUUUCCAAAAACCAAAUCCAUAACCAUGCCUUCAGUUUCAGCCCAACACCUCCGGGCUCUUUCUAGCUUUCUACCUUUCAUGAUUGUGAAUACCUUCUCCAGCAGUGAGAAACCUGGCUCCUUUGUCCUCAGUGGAUUUUCUUAUUUGCUCAAUUUUUUUGUUUUUUGUUUUGUUUUUGUUUUUGAGACAGAGUCUUGUUCUGUCACCCAAGCUGGAGUGCAGUGGCAUAAUCUCGGCUUACCGCAACCUCUGCCUCCUGG